rnacentral:lncRNA from 10 species
AAGAAGCAGAGGCCAGACUUGUGAACCAGGCCUGGGGCAAGUCCAAGAGGCAGCCCAGUGGUAGCCAUGGGGACAGCUGGCACCAGGUAAGGGCAGAGCCUGGAGUCCAGGGGGUCCAGCAGUCAGUGACGGGACGCCUAGCCCUGGAAGCCCAACACAGACAGAGAUUAGAACCUGGAGAGCCAUCAGCAGGGAACCCACUGCCUCAGUCAGCCUUGGCCUGGACUUGGGGCUGAGCCUUUGGUUGAUGGAGUCACAGCACCCAGAUAUGGCCAGCAGGAAAUGGCUGAGGUGGAAAAAGUAAGGAUCUCUGUUGCUUGCAACCCAAAGUAUCCCAACUGAUACAGCACAAAGAAAGUAGAGAAGAAGCCUCAGAGGCAAAAUUGGCCUUCUGCAAAGAAGUGCCCAGGAGUGGUCUUGACACUAAGAACCAGCCAGAAUUGCCCUGGAGAGCCCAGCAGAAGGAGCUGUCAGGAAGACAGAUAUUGAAUGAGUUCUGACAGCCACGACUCACCCUGACUUGCGUCACUGCACCCUCUGCCAGGCCUGCUAUUUUUGUGGCAUUAUCAGGAGCCACCUGUGAUGACAUUACAGCUCCAUGCCAGUACCCACUGUCCAUCCUCUUCUGAGUGGAAAGAAAUGGCACAUCACCAAAACUAUCACGAGGCAAUCUUAUAAGCACUGGCCUCUCUUCUUGUGAGCAUGAGGAAGAAAUACCUUCUGUUCUGCUUCUCUGAGAUUUGCCCAUUGGCCCUGCAAGAACAAAAUAUGUUGGUCUCUUCAACAGUGAUCCACAAGGCAGGGCACAGAGCCUUUGAACUUGCUAGAAAUCUAACAUUUUGCAUUCUCCCAGGCUGCUGGAGGAAGAGUAGGAUUUGACUCCCCUGAAGAUUUGGGCCGGACUUGGGAGAGCUGAGGAAAUGGCAGUAUUUGGCCAGGAGUUUUGAGACUUCUCCCAUGAAGAUCCCAACAGAGGUGUCCUCUGCUGGGUCUGCAUCUGCCUCUGCUGCUGGGUGCCCACUCCUGGCAUCUGGCUGCCUUUGUCAAUGUCCUGGCUUCGUUAUAUACUUUGCUAUGUGAUUUUGGACACAAUGUUCCUCACCUGCAAGAUGGAAUUUAUGACAGUUUCUGUUUCAAAAGGCUGUUACAAAGACUAAAUGAGAUAUUUCAAGUGAAGCUUUCAGAUACCUGGCACAUAGUAAGUGCUC